rnacentral:rRNA from 1 species
AACGCUGGCGGCAGGCCUAACACAUGCAAGUCGAGCGGUAGCACAGAGAGCUUGCUCUCGGGUGACGAGCGGCGGACGGGUGAGUAAUGUCUGGGAAACUGCCUGAUGGAGGGGGAUAACUACUGGAAACGGUAGCUAAUACCGCAUAACGUCGCAAGACCAAAGUGGGGGACCUUCGGGCCUCAUGCCAUCAGAUGUGCCCAGAUGGGAUUAGCUAGUAGGUGAGGUAACGGCUCACCUAGGCGACGAUCCCUAGCUGGUCUGAGAGGAUGACCAGCCACACUGGAACUGAGACACGGUCCAGACUCCUACGGGAGGCAGCAGUGGGGAAUAUUGCACAAUGGGCGCAAGCCUGAUGCAGCCAUGCCGCGUGUAUGAAGAAGGCCUUCGGGUUGUAAAGUACUUUCAGCGGGGAGGAAGGCGAUAAGGUUAAUAACCUUGUCGAUUGACGUUACCCGCAGAAGAAGCACCGGCUAACUCCGUGCCAGCAGCCGCGGUAAUACGGAGGGUGCAAGCGUUAAUCGGAAUUACUGGGCGUAAAGCGCACGCAGGCGGUCUGUCAAGUCGGAUGUGAAAUCCCCGGGCUCAACCUGGGAACUGCAUUCGAAACUGGCAGGCUAGAGUCUUGUAGAGGGGGGUAGAAUUCCAGGUGUAGCGGUGAAAUGCGUAGAGAUCUGGAGGAAUACCGGUGGCGAAGGCGGCCCCCUGGACAAAGACUGACGCUCAGGUGCGAAAGCGUGGGGAGCAAACAGGAUUAGAUACCCUGGUAGUCCACGCCGUAAACGAUGUCGAUUUGGAGGUUGUGCCCUUGAGGCGUGGCUUCCGGAGCUAACGCGUUAAAUCGACCGCCUGGGGAGUACGGCCGCAAGGUUAAAACUCAAAUGAAUUGACGGGGGCCCGCACAAGCGGUGGAGCAUGUGGUUUAAUUCGAUGCAACGCGAAGAACCUUACCUGGUCUUGACAUCCACAGAACUUAGCAGAGAUGCUUUGGUGCCUUCGGGAACUGUGAGACAGGUGCUGCAUGGCUGUCGUCAGCUCGUGUUGUGAAAUGUUGGGUUAAGUCCCGCAACGAGCGCAACCCUUAUCCUUUGUUGCCAGCGGUUAGGCCGGGAACUCAAAGGAGACUGCCAGUGAUAAACUGGAGGAAGGUGGGGAUGACGUCAAGUCAUCAUGGCCCUUACGACCAGGGCUACACACGUGCUACAAUGGCGCAUACAAAGAGAAGCGACCUCGCGAGAGCAAGCGGACCUCAUAAAGUGCGUCGUAGUCCGGAUUGGAGUCUGCAACUCGACUCCAUGAAGUCGGAAUCGCUAGUAAUCGUAGAUCAGAAUGCUACGGUGAAUACGUUCCCGGGCCUUGUACACACCGCCCGUCACACCAUGGGAGUGGGUUGCAAAAGAAGUAGGUAGCUUAACCUUCGGGAGGGCGCUUACCACUUUGUGAUUCAUGACUGGGGUGAA